rnacentral:rRNA from 1 species
UGGGGAAUAUUGCACAAUGGGGGAAACCCUGAUGCAGCAACGCCGCGUGAGUGAAGAAGUAUUUCGGUAUGUAAAGCUCUAUCAGCAGGGAAGAAGAAAUGACGGUACCUGACUAAGAAGCCCCGGCUAACUACGUGCCAGCAGCCGCGGUAAUACGUAGGGGGCAAGCGUUAUCCGGAUUUACUGGGUGUAAAGGGAGCGCAGGCGGUGCGGCAAGUCAGAUGUGAAAACCCGGGGCUCAACCCCGGGACUGCAUUUGAAACUGUCGGACUAGAGUGCCGGAGAGGUAAGUGGAAUUCCUAGUGUAGCGGUGAAAUGCGUAGAUAUUAGGAGGAACACCAGUGGCGAAGGCGGCUUACUGGACGGUAACUGACGCUGAGGCUCGAAAGCGUGGGGAGCAAACAGGAUUAGAUACCCUGGUAGU